rnacentral:rRNA from 1 species
UUAUCGUGCGACGAGGCGCCAGGGCUGUCGCUGACCUCCCCUUUCGAGGUCGUGCACGCCCGGGGUGUCCUCACACAAUCCACCCCACAAAACCCCCCUUUGUGCAUCACCGCGUGGGCUCCUUUGGGUCGGUUCGAUCCGAGUGGGGCUUGCGCCUUUUACACGAACGUGCAGUGUAGAAUGUCUUUUGCGAUUGUACGCAAUCAAUACAACUUUCAACAACGGAUCUCUUGGCUCUCGCAUCGAUGAAGGACGCAGCGAAAUGCGAUACGUAAUGUGAAUUGCAGAAUUCAGUGAAUCAUCGAAUCUUUGAACGCACCUUGUUCCCCUUGNCAUUCCGAGGNNCACGACCCGUUUGAGUGUCGUGAAUUUCUCAACCUCCUGCUGUUUCUUGAUAGCAGGAGGCUUGGACUUUGGAGGCGCUUGCUGGCCUCUCUUCAGAAGCCAGCUCCUCUUAAAUGGAUUAGCAGGNUCUGCCUUUGGCCGAUCCUCGACGUGAUAAGCUGCUUCUAUGUCUUGNAUUCGGCUCCGCCUCAUUCUUUUGAGACCUGCUUCUAAUCGUCUCGGUUGCCCUUCGGGUGGACUUUGACCCACGAACCCUUUGACCUCAAAUCGGGUGAGACUACCCGCUGAACUUAAGCAUAUCAAUA